UACCUAGUUUUAUAAUUACUCCGUCAACCAUUUACCAAUCUCCUCAUGACAGCAUUUCUCACACGUACAGAGGCAGCGAGCGGCGGACGAGGAGAGCCAUCUUGAGGGGGUUAGCGGAGGGGAGACAGACGGGGCAGCCUCACACCUCACACCUGCUCUCCCUCCCUCCCUCCCUCCCUCCGUGAUGCAGUGUUUCGGCGCCACACAGACACGCUGCUUCGGCCGGAACCGGAGGCAGUCCAGAGCUGGGAAAAAAAAGCCUGCAAAAGCCCUGCUCCCAAAAGUGUACAAGAGGAAUAUUCCAAAUAAAGGUUCAAAUAUAGUUGAA